CGGACGGGUGAGUAACGCGUGGGUAACCUGCCUUAUACAGGGGGAUAACAGUCAGAAAUGACUGCUAAUACCGCAUAAGCGCACAGGACCGCAUGGUCCGGUGUGAAAAACUCCGGUGGUAUAAGAUGGACCCGCGUUGGAUUAGCUGGUUGGUGGGGUAACGGCUCACCAAGGCGACGAUCCAUAGCCGGCCUGAGAGGGUGAACGGCCACAUUGGGACUGAGACACGGCCCAG
rnacentral:rRNA from 1 species